GAUGAACGCUAGCGGGAGGCCUAACACAUGCAAGCCGAGCGGUAUUUGUCUUUCGGGACAGAGAGAGCGGCGUACGGGUGCGGAACACGUGUGCAACCUGCCUUUAUCAGGGGGAUAGCCUUUCGAAAGGAAGAUUAAUACCCCAUAAUAGAUCUGAUGGCAUCAUUAGAUAUUGAAACCUCCGGUGGAUAGAGAUGGGCACGCGCAAGCUUAGAUAGUUGGUGAGGUAACGGCUCACCAAGUCAGUGAUCUUUAGGGGGCCUGGGAGGGUGAUCCCCCACACUGGUUCUGGGACACGGACCAGACUCCUACGGGAGGCAGCAGUGAGGAAUAUUGGACAAUGGGUGCGAGCCUGAUCCAGCCAUCCCGCGUGAAGGACGACGGUUCUAUGGAUUGUAAACUUCUUUUAUACUGGGAUAAACCUACUCUCGUGAGGGUAGCUGAAGGUACAGUAUGAAUAAGCACCGGCUAACUCCGUGCCAGCCGCCGCCGUAACAC
rnacentral:rRNA from 1 species